rnacentral:rRNA from 2 species
UACGUAGGUGGCAAGCGUUGUCCGGAUUUAUUGGGUUUAAAGGGUGCGUAGGCGGCCCUAUAAGUCAGUGGUGAAAUACUCUAGCUUAACUAGAGGGGUGCCAUUGAUACUGUAGGGCUUGAGUAAAGUUGAGGUUGGCGGAAUUGACGGUGUAGCGGUGAAAUGCUUAGAUAUCGUCAAGAACACCUAUUGCGAAGGCAGCUAACUAAGCUUUAACUGACGCUGAGGCACGAAAGUGUGGGGAUCAAACAGG